rnacentral:rRNA from 1 species
GGCGACCGGCGCACGGGUGAGUAACACGUAUCCAACCUGCCGAUAACUCGGGGAUAGCCUUUCGAAAGAAAGAUUAAUCCAGGAUGGGAUCAUGAGUUCACAUGUCCGCAUGAUUAAAGGUAUUUUCCGGUAAACGAUGGGGAUGCGUUCCAUUAGAUAGUAGGCGGGGUAACGGCCCACCUAGUCAACGAUGGAUAGGGGUUCUGAGAGGAAGGUCCCCCACAUUGGAACUGAGACACGGUCCAA